GAGCUAUUCCCUCCGUCUCAAAAAUUUUAUCUUAAAUUUGUUUAAAUAUGAAUGCAUCUAGUCACGUUUUAGUAUUUAAGUACAUCCAUUUUUAAACAAACUUAAGACAAGAAUUUUGGGACGGAGGAAGUACUAG
rfam:Hordeum vulgare subsp. vulgare, WGS project CAJW01000000 data, contig: morex_contig_1562718